rnacentral:tRNA from 1 species
GCCGUGGUGGUGCAGUGGUCAGCACACCUGAUCUGGUAUUCUAAGUCCCUAAAACCGCCUACCUAAAUCCCCAAACUCGCCUACCUAAGUUCCUAACACUCUCUCUCAAAGAACGGGAGGUCGCAGGUUCGAUUCCUGCUCACGGUG